UAGGGCGGAGGCAGGCAGAUUUCUUUGAGUUUGAGACCAGCCAGGACUAUAGAGUAAGACCUCUCAAGCAAAAACAAGCGGCAUGGGGAGGUUUAUUGCUGGCAGCAAACUAGGAGCAAACUGGGGACCAUUCAAAGCAGUGUCUCCCUAGGCAAGUCUAUCAGGGGGCUCUCAUUGGUGAAACACACCCAUUCAUCAUCACAUGGAGACAAGGGACAUGUGAGCAUGCUCAGUUUAACAUUAUGCUUUUCAUACACUGCAUACUCAAAAAGUGUGUGUGGGGGGAGGAGGCUGAAACACAGCUGGGAAUGGUGCCGAAUAUCUCUAAUCUUAGCACUUGGGAGGCAGAGGCGAGGUCUGGAGUUCAGGGCCAGCUUUGGUGGCAGAGUGAGUUUGAGUACAGUGUAGGUUACACGAGACCUUGACUCUGAAAAAUAGAAAGGAAGAAAGAGAAAGAAGGGCUGGCAUAAUAGGUCAGGAAGUAAAGAUGCUUCCUGGACCCCAUGUAAAGGUGAAAGGAGACUAUAGACUCCACAAUGUUACCCUCUGACUUCCACAUACUCUGUGAUACACAGACCCUCCCGCCUUCCCCCACACUUUGUGACACACUGUCACAGCUCCCUCCGCCCCCCAACACCAUGAAUACAUAGUAUAGACACACACAAAUAAAAACAAGACUUUAAAAGAAAAACAGCAGACACGGACACACUUGAGAAUUUUAUUUUAUAAUGAACAAAAUGUAUUCUAAGUUACCUAGGCCUAGGUCAGAAUGACUUCACAGUCUUGGCUGGCUCCUUUUAACUUUCCCUGGAGAGUCUUCUAACUUGGAGGCUAGAAGCUCAAAUCAAAUGAUGCAGAUUCUUGGUGGGUGGGCCCAGCUUCUUUGGCCUUGAGUGUGGAAUGGAUGUGCACGGAGUCUGUUUUCAUUUCUAUUUUAGUGUGUGUUCCUGCUUAUGAAAACAACGUCACUGCAAAACAGGAUGCUAUAUUACACUAGCAGCUGCCUCAGCUCUGUCUAGUGUUUAUCCUUCUCUUAAAGAUUCACCAUGUAGCCCAGGCUAGCCUGGAUUCUGUCAUUAUUUUGCCCUAUCUCCUUAGUGUACCACCAUAUCUGGUGGCUAGGGGCCCUUGUUGGAUUUGAUUCCUAGCACCAUUAUGUUGGCUCACAACUACCCUCAAUUCCAGUUCCAAGGAACUCUUCACCCUCUUCUGACCCACAUGGGCACCAGGUACAUAGGGGAUACACAGACAUACAUGCAAGCAAAACAUUCAUACAUCUAAAAUUAAAUAAAUAAAUAAUAAUAAAAAAAAACCCCAGCCCAGGCCCCCUUUGGAAACAGAUACCUGGCUACUGCCAAGUGUAACUUAAUUAUAACCCAAGGAGCCACAGUACUGACAAAUAACUCCAAGAGGAUGCUAUCUCUUUAGAAAAACAGAGGGCUGCAUGACUGCAUUAAUUCCCCCCGGGUCACAGCCCCCUCUAGACAUAGGUCAGGACAGACAGACGUGAGACCCAGUUCCGGGCUAGUUCCUUAGUCACUCUUUGGAAGGGAGGGGGCCCAGUGGCAGGAAGCACGAGAGAGCAGAGAACACAACAAUUCAACAAAUCGCUCCCCCCACCUCCUUCUUUCAGACAUUCUGGCUCUCUGGCUUUUCUCUUUUCUUUUGGUGCUAGGACAGAAGAGACUUCUGUGUGUAAGGCUCUCCCUGCAGCUGAGUCUCCCUGCCCUCCCGUGCUUUCUGAUUCUGACAGGAUGAUGAAGAUGACUCAAAGGGGAUGAGGAACUCGGCUGGAAUCCACUUGCUCACUCCCAGCUCCAGAGAGAAGGAAGGAUUCCCUAGCACCCUAAGCUGAGGGUUCGCCCCUUCCUCCUGUGGUCCCAUUCCCAAGAGUCCCAUCUCCUGGCUCACAGAGCAACUCUCCUUUGAAAAGUCCUACCCCAUCCAAACCAUUUCUCCUCUCUUAUGCUCACCCUGCUAGCCUGGGCCAAUUUCCAAGCAGCAAAAGCCAUGUCUUGAGGGGUGGGGAUUCCUGGAAAAAGUAACUUGGAUGGUUUUGCGUCUGAGUUUCCAUAUUCCCAAACGCAUUCAAUGUACUUGAUGGUUCCUGGGCUUAUCGCUUCCUGGAAACCACUGGUCAAGUGUGCUCCCACCACUGCUUUUACUCUGAAACACACCUCCAGGAGGAGGGGUCAGCUGAAGUCUGCAGCUGGGAUAAUAAAAGCUCAGUAGAUUGGCACAAC